AUGCAGAGCACACAGGUGACUCACUUCCUACAGUAUUUCUACACUGGAUCUUCUGGGGUGCCAAACUUCCCAGAGUUUGUGGUUGUUGGGAUGGUUGAUGAAGUUGAGAUAAUUCACUAUGACAAUAACACCAGGAGAGCUGUGCCCAAACAGGACUGGAUGAAGAAAGUCACAGAAAAUAACACACAGUACUGGAAUACAGAGACUAAAGCACUGAAUAACACCCUGCAGGUGUUCAGAAACAACAUUGAAACAGCAAAGCAACGCUUCAACCAAACUCAAGGUAUCCACGUUUUCCAGUUGAUGUAUGGGUGUGAAUGGGACGACGAGUUUAAAGACAUUAUAUCAUCAGUAUGGCUAUGAUGGAAAAGAUUUUAUUAUAUUUGAUCUGAACACAGAAACGUGGAUUGCUCCAAAAGAACAGGCUGUCAUCACCAAACACAAGUGGGAUCAUGAUGCUGAUUGGAAUACACAGACGAAACACUACUUAACUCAGGACUGUAUUGAGUGGCUGCAGAAAUAUGUGUACUACGGUCGGCAUAGCCUGAAGAGAACAGUUCUUCCAUCAGUCUUUCUCCUCCAGAAGUCUUCCUCCUCUCCAGUCUUCUGCCACGCUACAGGUUUCCAUCCUAACAGAGCUGAGAUGGUCUGGAGAAAAGAUGGAGUGGAGCUUCAUGAGGGUGUGAACAAAGGAGAAAUCCUCCCCAACAAUGAUGGUACCUUCCAGAUGAGUGUUGACCUGGAUCUUUCGUCUACAAAACCUGAAGACUGGAGGAGGUACGACUGUGUGUUUCAGAUCUCUGGUGUGAGCAAGGACUUCAUCAUUAAACUGGACAAAGCAGUGAUCAAAACCAAUCAAAAAGAAAACCUUCUCUGGAUACAGUUCUUCAUCGUUGUUGUAGUCAUUGUUUUUGUUGUGAUCACUGUGACUGGAUUCAUUAUUUACAAAAAGAGAAACGAGAAACGACCUCCAUAUCCUGUUGAGAAACCUGAGGUCUGGGAGAACAUGAUUCCAAUGUUCCACUUAAAUCACUAUCCUGCACACAAUAGGAGGUGAGGGCAGUCAUGGAGGAGUCACAGAGCAUGCACAGAAGUGGCACAAGCAUUAAGAAAGCAGAGCUUCAGGAGAGCCACAGGAUGGAUAGGCCAGAGGAUGCCAUGGAGAGUGGCCCUGGAAUUGUUGAACUGUUGCUAAGACCCAUUGCUAAGAUAUCAGAAUAAGUCAAGCAGGCUUGCCUGUGCUAUGAAACACCGCCACUGGACUACUGAAGACUGGAAGAAAGUGUUAUGGACUGAUGAAUCAAAAUUUGAAAUCUUCAGUUCAUCACAGAGGAUCUUUGCACGCCUUCAAGUAAGCAAAAGGAUGGUUCCACAGUGUGUGGCAUCAACUGUCAAACGGGGAGGAGGAAGUGAAAACAUGGAGUGGCCAGUCUUAAACCCCAUCGAGCUGGUUUGGGAUGAACUGGACAGAAGAGUGAAAGCAAAGCAUCCUACAAGUGUCACACAUUUAUUGGAACUUCUGAAACAGAUAUGGGAAGAACUUUCUGAAGAAUAUUUAAUUUCUAUUGAAGAAAGACAAGUGUCUUAAGCUGUUAUAUCUGCCAAAGGUGGCUACUUUGAUGAGUUUAGAAUACAUUUUGUUCUAUAAAUUGUUUCCAUGAUUUCUUUUUCUUUCUUUCUUUCUUUUUUUUUAAACUCCCAUAGCUUAUGGGCUGGCACUCCUGUGGAUAAAAUCAUACCUCUCAAACAGGAGCUUCUGUGUUAAGUUAGGCUUAUCAUCGUCCUCUGUGGCCCCUCUGUCAUGGGGUGUACCACAGGGAUCUAUUCUUGGGCCAUUACUGUUUUCAUUGUAUCUCCUGCCACUGGGUGCGAUCUUUCGUAAACACAAUGUUUCAUUUCAUCUAUAUGCUGAUGAUUGCCAGAUCUAUUUUCCUUUCAGUCAUUCUGAUAGCUCCCCAAUUAGUCUCCUGCUUGAUUGCCUUAGUGAUGUUAAGUCAUGGAUGGCUCAAAACUUUUUAAAUUUUAAUGAACGUAAAACGGAAGCAAUUGUGUUUGGCCCGAAUCGUUCCGCUGAUAUCCCCGAUGUUCACCUUGCUGCUCUGACCCCUCACCUGAAGAGCUCGAUUACCAAUCUUGGGUUAAAAAUCGACGCUGCACUUACUUUUGAUGGGCACGUGAAUGAGGUGGUGAAAUCAUCAUUCUAUCACCUCAGGCGUCUGUCGAAGGUUAAACCUUUUCUUUCAAGGCGUGACUUGGAGACUGUUAUCCACGCUUUUAUAACCUCACGCUUGGAUUAUUGUAACUCCCUUUUAAUAGGGGUUGGACUGGGCACUCUGAGACGCCUGCAACUAGUACAGAAUGCUGCGGCACGGUUUUUAUCUGGUAAAAGAAAAUUUGAGCACAUUACUCCGGUUCUGGCCUCCCUGCAUUGGCUUCCAAUUGAAUUUAGGAUUAAUUUUAAAGUUCUUUUAUUGGUUUUUAAAUCUUUAAAUGGUCUGGCACCUGCAUAUAUGUCUGAUUUGCUGAAGCCCUAUCUCCCCACUCGUUCGCUCCGGUCAGCUGAGCAGCUGUUGCUCUCAGUCCCUAAAUCACGGCUGAAACUGAGAGGAGACCGAGCGUUCUCUAUCGUGGCUCCUAAGCUUUGGAAUAAUCUUCCUCUUCACAUUAGGCAAUCGACAUCAGUGAUGGUUUUUAAAUCCAGACUGAAAACACAUUUUUAUUCACUGGCUUUUGACUCAGUGGUUGACUGACUUGUAUUUACUUACAUUUUAUUGUCUUCACUAUGUUUAUUAUUUUACCGUAUUUAUUAUU